CUUAAGAGGGUGCAGCCGUGAGAAGGCGAGAUUUCGAUAUUUUAGUGACUUUUGACAUGCUACUUUUCACAUAAUCGAAGCUUAUUAAAUAAAGAAAUGUACAAUUAUGUAAACAUAAAGUCUUAUAGAAGUGUACUGCAAAGGAAAAUUUUGGUAUUUAAUAGUACAUCUUUGUUUAAUUUGUCAUUUCUUAAAAGCAAAAUUUCAAAAGCGCUCGUCAGAGCUCACUUUGAGAUAUGAAAUUACCAUUAAGCUAUGUAAAUACAUUUUUUUAAAUAUUUUCGUAGGACAGAAUAUAUAGUCUAUUGGUGAACCACAGCGGAAAAUAUUAAAAAUUAUAUAUUUUAAUAAUUACGCACCCAUUUUUAUAAAUGACUUAUUAUACGAUUUUGGAAACAGCUUUUUAUGAGAAAAGCCCGAUUUUAUUCGUUAAAACUAUUUUGUAUCGAUUAACUGAGGAUGAAUAAAUAAUAAAAGUAAAUUUACAUAAUUAUUAUACGACGAUAGUUAUUACAAACUAUUAUUGAAAAUGGCCUAUAUAAUUACGCGCACGGGCGAAUGUGAUUUAGUACGCGCCGGGUCAUCCCAGAGGGUGGACGUAUCGCUCAUUUCCCGCGCGUCUAAAAGUUGAUUGACCUUACGUACGACCGAGGUUCAAAAGGAGUAUAGUGCGUCAUUGGAUUUGAUACUUUAGCAUGGGUAACAAACGCAAAAAAUAUAGUUGCAGUAGAAAUGCGAAGUCUGCAGCGAACGCCAGGCAAUCAAAAAGGAGAAAGAUUAACGAGGAAAAAAACCAACGUACUCAUGAAUCUCCUGACAAUAACGACUCCUGUGUUGAUUCAAAAAAUAAUAAUCGUGACAAUGUAAGUAUUUACUAUCAGCUAGUAUAAUUAGCUAUUCAUACUUAAAUUUAAAUCAGUAUAUAUUUAGCAGUCAUCUGGGUAAAUUAAUCAGUAAAUUAGAGGCUUUUACUAAACCCCGGUUUCUAAUUAAAUCAUUGUCUAAUAACCAGCCAAGUAAUUGAGCGCAAUAUUAAACCAGAUGGCUGAAUGUCGUGUAGUCAUUUAUAUUAAAUCAGAUACCUAUUUAUGGAUUUGUGAUGUUUGGGUAAGGUGACCAUCGGAUCUGGAAAAAAUAGAUGAGAAAAAACAAAAUAUACAUUUAGAAGAAACGGCAAAUAUUGAAGAGUUUGAAUUGGAAGUGGAGCCACAAAAACAUAUCAUUCCUCCAUAUCAAAUUAUAGGAAGAAGGAUUGUUGAUUUCAUGUAUUUCUUUGAUCAAAUCAAAAUCGUAGCUAACCAUAAUCCUGGACUCGGUUGUUCAAUAAGUAAUGUUGAAAUUGUCAAAGAAAUACUUAAUGGCUUAGAAUCGACAAUCCACUUCAAAUGUACAAUGUGUAACAAGAAAUUUAAUGUCACACUAUGCAAUAAUAAUUUUCCAAAAGAGAUGACCACAAACCAUGCUGCAGUGACUGUUUGUAAAUAAUAAAUCUAGAAAUGUAAUUUAUGAUGUAUCAUUUACCCAAUACUAGUUUGAUAAAAAUUAAAAAGUUUCAUGGGGGCACACACACGUGACCGUGUAUAUCAAAGUAUCAAUAUUAUUUUAUCCUACUAUUCCACGUUCGAGAUAGCGCUUACGCACACAGACGCAUUUUGUUGUUGUGUAGCUCGUCUCGCGUCGAUUUUGACUUGGCUGAAUUGGGAUAAGCGCUCUUAAUCG